rnacentral:rRNA from 1 species
AUUGAACGCUGGCGGCAUGCUUUACACAUGCAAGUCGAACGGCAGCGCGGGCUUCGGCCUGGCGGCGAGUGGCGAACGGGUGAGUAAUACAUCGGAACGUGCCCAGUAGUGGGGGAUAGCUCGGCGACAGCCGGAUUAAUACCGCAUACGACCUGAGGGUGAAAGCGGGGGAUCUUCGGACCUCGCGCUAUUGGAGCGGCCGAUGGCAGAUUAGCUAGUUGGUGGGGUAAAGGCCUACCAAGGCGACGAUCUGUAGCUGGUCUGAGAGGACGACCAGCCACACUGGAACGGAGAAACGGCCCAGACUCCUACGGGAGGCAGCAGUGGGGAAUUUUGGACAAUGGGCGAAAGCCUGAUCAAGCAAUGCCGCGUGUGUGAUGAAGGCCUUCGGGUUGUAAAGCACUUUUGGCGGGAACGAAAAGGACUGUGCCAAUACCACGGUUCGAUGACGGUACCCGCAGAAUAAGCACCGGCUAACUACGUG